rnacentral:rRNA from 1 species
AGUGAACGCUGGCGGUAGGCCUAACACAUGCAAGUCGAACGGCAGCACAGUAAGAGCUUGCUCUUACGGGUGGCGGGUGGCGGACGGGUGAGGAAUACAUCGGAAUCUACUUUUUCGUGGGGGAUAACGUAGGGAAACUUACGCUAAUACCGCAUACGACCUACGGGUGAAAGCAGGGGAUCUUCGGACCUUGCGCGAUUGAAUGAGCCGAUGUCGGAUUAGCUAGUUGGCGGGGUAAAGGCCCACCAAGGCGACGAUCCGUAGCUGGUCUGAGAGGAUGAUCAGCCACACUGGAACUGAGACACGGUCCAGACUCCUACGGGAGGCAGCAGUGGGGAAUAUUGGACAAUGGGCGCAAGCCUGAUCCAGCAAUACCGCGUGGGUGAAGAAGGCCUUCGGGUUGUAAAGCCCUUUUGUUGGGAAAGAAAAGCAGCAGGUUAAUACCCCGCUGUUCUGACGGUACCCAAAGAAUAAGCACCGGCUAACUUCGUG